CAAGCGAGGCCAGACGAGGCGACGGCCUGGUGUUCAUUGUUCCUGCUGGUUAUUCGCAUGGCCUAAUUGUGUGAGGAAAACAGAAUGAAGGAAAAUGGAUGGGAAGCAACACCGCUCGCGGUCGAGUUCUUAGAAAAGCAGAAGUUCGUCGUCCCUCCUCGCACGCACAGCGAGUGCUGGGAAGUGGCCUGCACCCUACCCUGAUUUGGGGGC
rnacentral:lncRNA from 1 species